rnacentral:rRNA from 1 species
GACGAACCGUGCGAACGUUGUUCGGAAUCACUGGGCUUAAAGGGCGCGUAGGCGGGCGGGCAAGUCAGGGGUGAAAUCCCACGGCUCAACCGUGGAAGUGCCCUUGAUACUGCCGGUCUCGAGGGAGGUAGGGGCGUGCGGAACUUCCGGUGGAGCGGUGAAAUGCGUAGAUAUCGGAAGGAACACCGGUGGCGAAAGCGGCGCGCGGGAUCUCUACUGACGCUGAGGCGCGAAAGCCAGGGGAGCAAACGGG